UCACAAUUUGGAAGUAUUUGUGAUAAACGUUAUGGAAAAAAUUGAUAUUACCUUACUAUAAGUGUUGUCUAAAUAACUGGUGCCAGAAGACUCGGUAACACCAGAAACGCGAAUGUUAGUCGUCUUAAACAGGCGUAAAGGGUAAGUAGGCUGCUUUAAAGUCUUAAUUUAAAUAAGCUAAUUAAUAAAAUUCCGCUCCCCUUUGUAUCUGUACAGAAAGAAGGGGCUCUUUAUCUGUCCUGCCCCUAAGGGGUAGGGAGAUAGACUGUCUUACCUCCUCUGUCUGUCCUCUGUAUAGACUCCCUUGCUACGCAGGAGUAGCUACUAGCUACGCUGGACAGAUGGAUUUAGAGAGAGGGAGCCCUUAGGGCUGUGCUUUACAAUAAACAGGUAGGAGUAGCGCUGCGGAAGCAGCAACUAAAAAUUAUCAGACCUUAAAUUAUAAAUUAAGGCUAACUUAAAAUGAAAAUAGGGAAUUAUUAAAAAUUUAAAAAUAGAUACAUUUAAAGCUAGAAUCAUAAUUGAGAUAAACCAAAUAAUACUUAUGUGUAAGGGCGAUAUCUGAAAAUACUAAGUAGAAUACUAACGGUGAAAACUUUUUAUCUGGAAGUGAUUGACGCUGAGGUACGAAAGUGAGAACAGGGAAUAGGAUUAGAUACCCAGUUACCUCUCACCGUCAACGAUGAAUGGAAGUUGUUAGUUUAAUUAAAUUAGUGACGAUGUUAACGCGAUAACC
rnacentral:rRNA from 1 species